UGGGGAAUAUUGGACAAUGGGCGCAAGCCUGAUCCAGCCAUGCCGCGUGAGUGAUGAAGGCCUUAGGGUUGUAAAGCUCUUUUAGCGGGGAAGAUAAUGACGGUACCCGCAGAAAAAGCCCCGGCUAACUUCGUGCCAGCAGCCGCGGUAAUACGAAGGGGGCUAGCGUUGCUCGGAAUUACUGGGCGUAAAGCGCACGUAGGCGGACUCUUAAGUCGGUGGUGAAAUCCUGGAGCUCAACUCCAGAACUGCCUUCGAUACGGGGAGGCUUGAGUUCGGGAGAGGUGAGUGGAACUGCGAGUGUAGAGGUGAAAUUCGUAGAUAUUCGCAAGAACACCAGUGUCGAAGGCGGCUCACUGGCCCGAUACUGACGCUGAGGUGCGAAAGCGUG
rnacentral:rRNA from 1 species